AUUGAACGCUGGCGGCAGGCCUAACACAUGCAAGUCGAGCGGAGCGGCGGACGGGGGAGUAAUGCCUAGGAAUGUGCCUGGGAGUGGGGGAUAAAGUCCGGAAACGGGCACUAAUACCGAAAACUAUCAAAUUAGCCUAGGUCCGAUUAGCUAGUUGGUGGGGUAAAGGCCUACCAAGGCGACGAUCCGUAACUGGUCUGAGAGGAUGAUCAGUCACACUGGAACUGAGACACGGUCCAGACUCCUACGUGAGGCAGCAGUGGGGAAUAUUGGACAAUGGGCGAAAGCCUGAUCCAGCCAUGCGGCGUGUGUGAAGAAGUUCUUCGGAUUGUAAAGCACUUUAAGUUGGGAGGCGUUACCAACAGAAUAAGCACCGGCUAACUUCGUGCCAGCAGCCGCGGUAAUUC
rnacentral:rRNA from 1 species